GGAGGAGCCUCUGGAGAGAUCCGUUAAAUCGGACGCCGAAGGAGCAAACCUGAAUUCAGGUGAAACUCUCAGGCAAAAGGACAGAGGAGAUAAG
rnacentral:ncRNA from 2 species